CUCUUUCCAGCUGUAUCCUCGGGGAACUGUUUACAAAGAAGCCUAUUUUUCAAGCCAAUCUGGAACUGGCUCAGCUUGAAUUAAUCAGCCGGCUCUGUGGGAGCCCCUGCCCAGCUGUGUGGCCAGAUGUGAUCAAGCUGCCCUACUUCAACACUAUGAAGCCCAAGAAGCAAUACCGCCGGCGCCUGCGUGAGGAGUUCUCCUUCAUUCCCUCGUCUGCUCUGGACCUGCUGGACCACAUGCUGACUCUGGACCCUGGCAAACGCUGCACAGCAGAGCAGGCCCUGCACAGUGACUUCCUGAAGGACGUUGACCUCAGCAAAAUGGCACCU